AGCCAUUUCAGCCUGUUACGAGAAGAAACAGUUCACAUAGACAACAUUUCUUUCCAAAGGAGUAUGGGACACAGAUGUCCCCUCUCUAACAAGAACUCAAUCAUUAAAGCUGCAGGGUAACAUUUGUCAUUUGUAAACUGAUUACAGACGAUCAUAAAGAAAACCAGAAGUCUUCAAACUGCAACAAUGCACAAAGUCUUUUGAAGCUACUACAGCAUUGAGAACAGAAUGAGAUCCCUACCUGCCAUAGUAAGCAGGCCAGUGUCAGAUGAAGCAAACACUUUUUAGGGCACCUUCUCCAGUCCCUUCUUCAUGCCAGGAGCUGCCGUGGCUUGAGCCAAUAAUGGACGACCUCCUGAACAAGCAAAUGUUAAGGAGAUGAGUUGUGGGGACAGAAUGAAGCUGAAACACCAAGAAGAAGACACCUUAUGCAGAAUGCAUGCUACCAAGGCAUCUGCUUUGGUAUUACCAGCUGAACACAAAAACUGAAGUAAUGGAAGCUGAAGGCUUGUCCUUAUUUUGUGAACCACACAUCUGCAUUGAAUCCAAACACUAAUACACCUAGAAUGGGCCUACAUCUACCUGAUUAU